rnacentral:rRNA from 1 species
GACGAACGCUGGCGGCGUGCCUAAUACAUGCAAGUCGAGCGAAUUGAUGGGAGCUUGCUCCCUGAUAUUAGCGGCGGACGGGUGAGUAACACGUGGGUAACCUGCCUGUAAGAUUGGGAUAACUCCGGGAAACCGGAGCUAAUACCGGAUAACAUUUCGAACCGCAUGGUUUGAAAUUGAAAGAUGGUUUCGGCUAUCACUUACAGAUGGACCCGCGGCGCAUUAGCUAGUUGGUGAGGUAACGGCUCACCAAAGCAACGAUGCGUAGCCGACCUGAGAGGGUGAUCGGCCACACUGGGACUGAGACACGGCCCAGACUCCUACGGGAGGCAGCAGUAGGGAAUCUUCCGCAAUGGACGAAAGUCUGACGGAGCAACGCCGCGUGAACGAUGAAGGCCUUCGGGUCGUAAAGUUCUGUUGUUAGGGAAGAACAAGUACCAGAGUAACUGCUGGUACCUUGACGGUACCUAACCAGAAAGCCACGGCUAACUACGUGCCAGCAGCCGCCGUAA